UACGGAGGGGGCUAGCGUUGUUCGGAUUCAUUGGGCGUAAAGGGUGCGUAGGUGGCGCUGUAAGUCGGGUGUGAAAUUUCGGAGCUUAACUCCGAAACUGCAUUCGAUACUGCGGUGCUUGAGGACUGGAGAGGAGACUGGAAUUCAUGGUGUAGCAGUGAAAAUGCGUAGAGAUCAUGAGGAAGACCAGUGGCGAAGGCGGGUCUCUGGACAGUUCCUGACACUGAGGCACGAAGGCCAGGGGAGCAAACGGG
rnacentral:rRNA from 1 species